UGCGGCGACGUGGGCGGUUCGCUGCCCCGCGACGUUGUGAGAAGUCCACUGAACCUUAUCAUUUAGAGGAAGGAGAAGUCGUAACAAGGGUUUCCGUAGGUGAACCUGCGGAAGGAUCAUUG
rnacentral:rRNA from 1 species